GCGGUUAAAUUAAGUGAGUAAACUUUGAUGUCGUUCAUUCCAAACUUAAAAACGAACGCUUUAUUACCGGUAAUUCGGUCUAGUAUAUCGAUUAAAUAUAAUACAUGCGAUUGUAUGUUGGUAUAUAUGCCACUCACCACCAUUAGAAGGCGCAGUCGAGAGUUGAUUUUUUUCGGUCUUGUUUUCACUCAUUUCGGUGCAGAUUCGUGGUUCUACGUGUUCGACACCUGCAAGACAGUCAUACAAAUUGAGAAAACAAUAAUAUUAAAUACAAUACAUUCACGGUGAAGUGCGAGGGACGAGAAAUCGCUGCCAGAACGUGAGAUGUAGGUAUUAUAUAAUAUGAAAUGCUGCUAGUCCCAGUUUAUGGUGCCGUCCGAUUACUACGGGAAAAACGAGAUGAGAGACAAGAAAACUACCUAUUAUUAUACGGGUCACCGCGAUAAAUACGGAUUACCUAUAGUAUGACAUACCUACGAUGAACACCGUGGACUCGUGGUUUUAUAAUACAUUAACAUUGUAUUAAUAUAGGAAGCCUACACAAUAUUACGGGUGCUUAUCCCGCCCAAACGGUUGGACAAUAUUACACAAAUAUAAAUAUUGGAAAACGAUUGAUGGAUUUAUCUUAUUAUCGACGCUAUUAUAAUAAUUGUUGUAUUAAUUACCCAGUGUUAAUAAUAUUAACGGUCGGUCUGAUACGGAACCUUCGCGAUAUUCUACGACGACGGCGGGAAGAAGAAAAAAAAGGUCUGUCGGAGUCACUCGUGUCACGGUUUUAUGUAACCAGUAAUUCCGCACUAAAAGUGUCGGUUAUGAUUUUAAUUUUUUUUUUUUUGAAGUGUAAUACUAUUGAAAGUCACAGUAGUCACACU